CGGGCAGUGUUCGGAGCCGCGGCCCUGCCCGGUUCGGCGGCGCGCCGGGCAGCGGACGGGUGUAGCUGGGGAGCGCUCAUCGCUCGCACAGCCGCGCCGCUGGGCGCCGAGCGUCCCGCCAGAAGCUAGAGCGUGCCUUAGGGAUGCCCCCGUCGUCCCUCUCCUGCUGCCCCCGUAGUUGCCAAGGGCACAACAUGAGCUUCUCUGUAGGGAGGACUCUUCAGGAAUUUUAUUUGCAAACCUCCUGAGAAAACGUCAAGAAAUAAACAUUUUGCGUCAAAACCGGUUGAAUUACUCAUCCUGCACAGGAAAGAGAGUGGACUUGCUGACAAGCGUCCUCUGGGGGAGUGUGAAUGGUGUGGCACUGCCAGGCAGAGCAGUGCCUGUACUGGGGUCACUGCGUUGAUGUGUGCAAGUGCUGUAAGGACCCCGUGCCCCUUCUCACAGGUUGACCACUGGGUACCAGUGAGCUGAAGCCCCAUCUCUAGCUCUGUUGAUGUGCUGGGCCUGAUUUGGGAAGCUCUUCUGGUUUGUCCACGUGGCAGUGAAGGAGUUGGAAGAAUUCUGGCAGCCCAGUCCCUGAUAAAGCAGCUCUCUGUCCUGGUCACCUCCCUCCUGUCUGGAGGCGGAGGCAUUCGUGAUAGCCACCUCAGGAAGUAAUUUGGUCUUUGCUGGGAACAAAUAUAAUUCUCCCAAGCAAACACUGUCAAAGAUAAUAUCUAAACAGAAUACACGGUUCGUUAGCUAGACCAACUAUUUACUUUCAUCGUGAUGUACUCGAGAGUGAGGAACACACUGUAUCAUCGUUUUCUAGGAGAUGACAGUAUUGUUAGUACACACGCGCUUUGGUUCACUCUCUCCUCAGCAGCCUCUCAGGCAGUGGGUCCCAGAGAAGCCUUAGCACCACACACGCUUCAAGGCCAGCAGAUCCACAGCUGCUGGGCAGGAACACAGUGCACAGUGUGUGUUGGCAUGGGGGCUGCUGUGCUGCACCUGGAACACACUGUGUGUGCCUUGGUACAGUUUCACCUCUCUGCUGCUCAGGGUGUAGUAAGGGCUGGUUCCGUGAGAUGUAGGGCUGUGCAGAUGCAUGUGUUUGCUCUGCUGUUAGCUGCUGGAAAGUUUGUUAAACUGGAGAUGACAAAGUAAUUCUUCUUCCCUUACAUCACCCUCCUUUGCUUGUGAAGGUCUGCCUAGCAGUAUUUCAACUUCUCACAGCUAACCUUGGGUAGCACCGUCCCCAGUCUGCGCUGUGAGCCCAGGCACGGCUGAGAGCACAAUUUUAAUAACUGCCAGGCAUUAAAGAAACAAAGAUGAACAAAGAGCUACGUUGUGCUUUUUAUCUUCAUAGCCAUGAAUCUUUUCCUGCUUACGGCAGCAAACAGGGAUGGGAUAAACUGUAAUACCGAAGAUUUUGUAGCAGUUUAUAACUAUGUACCUUUUUUAUAUAUAAAAAAGUACAUUCUGUCUUCAAAUAUUGCUUUUUUUUUUUUCCUACCAAUCUUAAAAGAUUUGAGUGAUCUUUCUGAGAAGCAAGAUGACUUGAGGUACCGAGCUUCCAAAGGAAAAGUGAAAGUGGAGAAGUGGCUAUUUAGGAAGGAAAUGAGAACAUAGGUAAUAACAGUAAUGCAGAAAGAUGGAGAUAAGGCUUUUUAUCCUUCCCUUUCUGGUAGAAGACUACCACGGAUGGAUAAAUUCACUGCUAUUGAAGGUGUGUUCAUAACUUGGGGAAACAACACACUUUUCCAGAUACUCAGCCUGUAGAGCUCUGUUUUUGCAGGAUGUCAUUCAGGGAUUAAAUGCUUGUGGGAUUCAGGGGGAGGCUGAGAAAAUACCUUACAGCUUCUUUGUAGCUGUAAGAAAAGAUUAGACAAAAUCUUGGUUAGGUUAUCACAUACAUGUUGUGGAGUCUUCUGAAUGUUUUCUGUUUAUGCUCUUCUGAAUCAAGGACAAUGGUUAUGGAGCCAGCAGGAGACAAGUGAGGCUAUUCACUGCAAGAAGAUUGCUGUAGGGAGCCCAGCUAUGGUGCUUGCUGGUCCUGAGUGAGAUACGUUGCUAAUGAUCAGCCUCAGAGGUACAGCCUUACAAACUGGUAUUGCCAAGGAGCGAAUAGGAGUGGGAAUGCAGUAAGCAGAGCCAGUGGGCUGGAAAGGUAAAGAAAGAUUCAAUGCUGAGAAGGUGAAAGCAGCGUAUCUGAAAGGAGCUUAGUGUAAAUUUAGUGUAGGUCAACUUUAACUCACAACAUCUGACCAGUUACAAAGAGUUAAAAUGACCACAUCGGUAUCAAGAUGCUUUCAAUUAAUUAUGUAAUUAAGAUUUUAUUUAUUUAUUUAAGAUCUGCUUAGCCUCCUCAAGGCAAUGCUUGAAGUACAACUUUGCGUGCUUGUGGAUUAUGUGACAGCAGUGUAAU